rnacentral:rRNA from 1 species
CCUACGGGUGGCAGCAGUGGGGAAUAUUGGGCAAUGGAGGCAACUCUUACCCAGCAAUGCCGCGUGAAGGAAGAAGGCCUUCGGAUUGUAAAGUUCUUUUAUUGGGGACGAAAAAAAUGACGGUACCUGAGGAAUAAGCCCCGGCUAACUACGUGCCAGCAGCCGCGGUAAUACGUAGGGGGCAAGCGUUAUCCGGAUUGACUGGGUGUAAGGGGUGUGUAGGCGGGCUAGAAAGUGAGAUGUGAAAUCCUGGGGCUUAACCUCGGGACUGCAUUCUAAACUGGUAUUCUUGAGUACGGUAGAGGAAAGUGGAAUUCCUAGUGUAGCGGUGGAAUGCGUAGAUAGUAGGAGGAACACCAGUGGCGAAGGCAGCUUACUGGACUGUAACUGACGCUGAGGCACGAAAGUGUGGGGAGCAAACAGGAUUAGAUACCCGGGUAGUC